GACGAACGCUGGCGGCGUGCCUAACACAUGCAAGUCGAACGGGACCGGGGGCAACUCCGGUUCAGUGGCGGACGGGUGCGUAACACGUGAGGAACAUGACUUUCGGCGGGGGAUAGCCGGCCCAACGGCCGGGUAAUACCGCGUACGACCUCUCGGGGACAUCCCCGGUUGGUGAAAGCAGCAAUGCGCCGAAAGAGUGCCUCGCGGCCUAUCAGCUAGUUGGUGGGGUAAUGGCUCACCCAGGCGACGACGGGUAGCUGGUCUGAGAGGAUGGCCAGCCACAUUGGGACUGAGAAACGGCCCAGACUCGUACGGGAGGCAGCAGUGGGGAAUAUUGCGCAAUGGGAGAAAGCCUGACGCAGCGACGCCGCGUGUGGGAUGACGGCCUUCGGGUUGUAAACCACUGUCGGGAGGGACGAAUGCGCCGCAAGGCGAGUGACGGUACCUCCAAAGGAAGCACCGGCUAACUCCGUGCCAGCCGCCGCGGUAA
rnacentral:rRNA from 1 species